CACCGCCUGCUUGGUGCGUAGCGUGUCCUUUUGGACCCACAUCUUUUAUUUGGGACGCAGGACUUCUGUGCCGGAUUGCAGACCUCCCGCCCACGCUUUGACGAUGGGUGGACGUUGGGAGCAGCUAAGGUUCAGAGCAGCGACCCACCUGCCGAUUCGUGCAGGUCAUAAUAGGAUGCGUUACGGCCAAAGCGGGUACGGC
rnacentral:other from 1 species